GCAGAAGAAGUGUGGUCUGAAAUAGUUUCCACCAAGAGUAGAUAGAAACAUAUCUUCAAUAACUUAAAAUGCUUUAAUAUAUUUAUGAAAGAUCAAAUAUGAAUCCCUCUUUGUCACCUGAUCAAAAAAUAUCGAAAUAUCCAGCCAGCUACGAUGUUGAGCACUGUCUCAAGAAAAUCUACGCUACUGCACCGAAUAACCUAACAUCGGAUGAAAUAGAAGGCAUUAUUCACGAUGUCAGAAUUAACUCCCACAAACCUGGAUUAUGUAGCUCUACUGAAACAAUGGACGAUAUACUGCUAGAUUCGGGUUCAUUGACCACUUCUUCAGAUUCUGAAUGCGAAGAUACCUUUAUUGACAGUAUUAUUCAGGGUGCAUUGCUGAAUGAAAUCGCUGAACAAUCACUUUUGCAAACUAUCCAAGAAAUAGAGAAGCCGUUCUGAAAGCAGAAAUAUGUUAAAAUUCGAAAAAAUAGUGUUACAGUGAGGAAGGUGUUUUGCUAGAUUAUAGCCGAACAAAACGUCUAUUCUAAUUCAAAAUUUUAAUAUAGGAACUAUAGAUUUUUUUAUUAUUUUACCCUUUA